rnacentral:rRNA from 1 species
GCGCAGCAGGCGCGAAACCUCCGCAAUACACGAAAGUGUGACGGGGCCAUCCCGAGUGCCGUCCGCUGAGGACGGCUUUUCCCCAGUGUACACAGCUGGGGGAAUAAGGAGAGGGCAAGCCUGGUGUCAGCCGCCGCGGUAAUACCAGCUCUCCGAGUGGUGGGGACGCUUAUUGGGCCUAAAGCAUCCGUAGCCGGCUGGGCAAGUCCUCCGUUAAAUCCAACGAUUCAAUCGUUGGGCUGCGGGGGAUACUGUCCAGCUUGGGGGGCGGGAGAGGCCGACGGUAUUCCCGGGGUAGGGGUGAAAUCCUAUAAUCCCGGGAGGACCACCAGUGGCGAAGGCUGUCGGCUAGAACGCGCCCGACGGUGAGGGAUGAAAGCUGGGGGAGCGAACCGGAUUAGAUACCCCUGUAGU